rnacentral:rRNA from 1 species
UACGGGGGGUGCAAGCGUUGUUCGGAAUUACUGGGCGUAAAGGGCUCGUAGGCGGCCAACUAAGUCAGACGUGAAAUCCCUCAGCUUAACUGGGGAACUGCGUCUGAUACUGGAUGGCUUGAGUUUGGGAGAGGGAUGCGGAAUUCCAGGUGUAGCGGUGAAAUGCGUAGAUAUCUGGAGGAACACCGGUGGCGAAGGCGGCAUCCUGGACCAACACUGACACUGAGGAGCGAAAGCCAGGGGAGCAAACGGG